GUGGGGAAUAUUGGACAAUGGGCGAAAGCCUGAUCCAGCCAUGCCGCGUGAGUGAUGAAGGCCUUAGGGUUGUAAAGCUCUUUCAGUAGGGAAGAUAAUGACGGUACCUACAGAAGAAGCCCCGGCUAACUUCGUGCCAGCAGCCGCGGUAAUACGAAGGGGGCUAGCGUUGUUCGGAUUUACUGGGCGUAAAGCGCACGUAGGCGGAUUGGUCAGUUAGAGGUGAAAUCCUGGAGCUCAACUCCAGAACUGCCUUUAAUACUGCCAGUCUAGAGUCCAGAAGAGGUGAGUGGAACUCCUAGUGUAGAGGUGGAAUUCUUAGAUAUUAGGAAGAACACCAGUGGCGAAGGCGGCUCACUGGUCUGGUACUGACGCUGAGGUGCGAAAGCGUGGGGAGCAAACAGGAUUAGAUACCCGAGUAGUCC
rnacentral:rRNA from 1 species